rnacentral:rRNA from 1 species
UACGAAGGGGGCGAGCGUUGCUCGGAAUCACUGGGCGUAAAGGGCGCGUAGGCGGCCCUCCUAGUCGCGUGUGAAAGCCCCGGGCUCAACCUGGGAACUGCAUUUGAGACUGCUCUGCUCGGGUGCGGAAGAGGGAAGCGGAAUUUCCGGUGUAGCGGUGAAAUGCGUAGAUAUCGGAAGGAACACCAGUGGCGAAAGCGGCUUCCUGGUCCGACACCGACGUUCAGGCACGAAAGCGUGGGGAGCAAACAGG